rnacentral:lncRNA from 1 species
GGAAUAUCCUAAAAAGCAGUGUGGUGAUAUACAAAGCAAGAUCCAGACAUCCUAUGUUGUUUCUGGACAGGCUGUGGUCCUACAACCACUGCUUAGAAGUGCUGCAUGUUGAUAGCCAGUACAUAUGACUAUGUGGAGAAACAGGCAUGCUCUACAUACUAAACAAGAGAGCCCAACACUUCACUACAAGGGUUAUGAGUGACGACUCUGCACUUGACGAGAGUAUCCUUCAAUCACUCACCUCGAAAGCAUCUCUCAUUCUGACUAAAUAACCAACGUGUUUUAUGCGGACAUUGCAUUUUAAAUUAAUCUUUGAAAAUUUACACUAAAUUUUUUGAACUUUGCAUGAUAAAAUUGUAGUAUAUUAAU